rnacentral:rRNA from 1 species
AAACCACGUCUCAGUUCGGAUCGGAGUCUGCAACCCGACUCCGUGAAGCUGGAUUCGCUAGUAAUCGCGCAUCAGCCAUGGCGCGGUGAAUACGUUCCCGGGCCUUGUACACACCGCCCGUCACACCAUGGGAGCCGGUAAUACCCGAAGUCAGUAGUCCAACCUCGUGAGGACGCUGCCGAAGGUAGGAUUGGCGACUGGGGUGAAGUCGUAACAAGGUAGC